rnacentral:rRNA from 1 species
CAUGGAUUAGGCAUGCAAGUCGAACGAGGCAGCAAUGCCGAGUGGCGGAAGGGUGAGGAACGCGUGAGUAAUCUGCCCCCUAGUUGGGAAUAACAGUUGGAAACGACUGCUAAUACCGGAAUGUGGCUCAAUUGGUCGCAUGACCGAUUGGCUAAAGAUUUAUCGCUAGGGGAUGAGCUCGCGUCCCAUUAGCUAGUUGGUGAGGCAACGGCUCACCAAGGCGACGAUGGGUAGCUGGUCUGAGAGGAUGGUCAGCCACACUGGGACUGAGACACUGCCCAGACUCCUACGGGAGGCUGCAGUCGAGAAUCUUGGGCAAUGCGCGAAAGCGUGACCCAGCCAAUGCCGCGUGCGGGAUGAAGGUCUUCGGAUUGUAAACCGCUGUCAACCGGGACGAACACAAUGACUGUACCGGUGAAGGAAGCCACGGCUAACUACGUGCCAGCAGCCGC